GAGUCAUCUGCCUCUGCCUUGCACGCUUUGACAUCUCUAGCUCAAGUUUUACCACAGUUCCCUCCUCUCAGCUUCACCACACUGGCUGUCUUUUGGUUCUUUGCAUGCAGGCUGAACAACUACACCAUCGGCUUUCGUGGUUCUCUGGCUUACGCCUGGCAGAUCAGCAGAUUGUGAGACUUCUCGGCCUCCAUAACCACAGAAACCAACUGUAGUCAUGCAUGGAUGUGAGAGUUGGACUACAAAGAAAGCUGAAUGGUGAAGAAUUGAU